rnacentral:rRNA from 1 species
UGCAAGUCGAACGGACUAUUUGAUUGAGUAAUCGAGAUAAUAGUUAGUGGCGAAAGGGUGAGGAAUGAAUAGGUAACGUACCCCGAACUUCGGGAUAGCGUCAGGUGCUUGCACCUUUGCGAAAGCGGCGGUAAUACCGAAUAAUAUCGUAUAACUUAAGUUGUAUGAUCAAAGAUUUAUCGGUUUGGGAGCGGCCUAUUUCCUAUCAGCUUGUUGGUGAGGUAACGGCUCACCAAGGCAUCGACGGGUAGCGGGACUGAGAGGUUGACCCGCCACAUUGGGACUGAGACACUGCCCAGACCCCCACGGGGGGCUGCAGUAACGAAUAUUGUGCAAUGGGCGAAAGCCUGACACAGCGACGCCGCGUGUAGGAUGAAGCUUCUCGGAGUGUAAACUACUGUCAGGGGUUAGAAAGUGCGCUUCGGCGUAUUGAUCAGCCCCAGAGGAAGUCACGGCUAACUUCGUGCCAGCAGCCGCGGUAAUACGAAGGUGGCGAGCGUUGUUCGGAAUCACUGGGCUUAAAGCGCGCGUAGGCGGAAUAGAUAGUGUCUUGUGAAAUCCCCCGGCUUAACCGGGGAAUUGCGAGGCAUACUGCUAUUCUUGAGGCAAGUAGGGGUACAUGGAACUCUUGGUGGAGCGGUGGAAUGCGUAGAUAUCAAGAGGAACGCCAAAGGUGAAGACAGUGUACUGGGCUUGUCCUGACGCUGAGGUGCGAAAGCGUGGGGAGCGAAAGGGAUUAGAUACCCCUGUAGUCCACGCUGUAAACGAUGUCUACUA